rnacentral:rRNA from 1 species
UACGUAGGGUGCAAGCGUUGUCCGGAAUUAUUGGGCGUAAAGAGCUCGUAGGCGGUCUGUUGCGUCGGCUGUGAAAACUCGGGGCUCAACCCCGAGCCUGCAUACGAUACGGGCAGACUUGAGUGUGGCAGGGGAGUCUGGAAUUCCUGGUGUAGCGGUGAAAUGCGCAGAUAUCAGGAGGAACACCGGUGGCGAAGGCGGGACUCUGGGCCAAUACUGACGCUGAGGAGCGAAAGCGUGGGGAGCGAACAGG